rnacentral:rRNA from 1 species
CAUGAAGCUGGAAUCGCUAGUAAUCGCGGAUCAGAAUGCCGCGGUGAAUACGUUCCCGGGUCUUGUACACACCGCCCGUCACACCAUGGGAGUCGGAAAUGCCCGAAGUCUGUGACCCAACCUCAGGGAGGGAGCAGCCGAAGGCAGGUCGGAUGACUGGGGUGAAGUCGUAACAAGGUACC